rnacentral:rRNA from 1 species
AUUGAACGCUGGCGGCAGGCCUAACACAUGCAAGUCGAGCGGAUGAAGGGAGCUUGCUCCUGGAUUCAGCGGCGGACGGGUGAGUAAUGCCUAGGAAUCUGCCUGGUAGUGGGGGAUAACGUCCGGAAACGGGCGCUAAUACCGCAUACGUCCUGAGGGAGAAAGUGGGGGAUCUUCGGACCUCACGCUAUCAGAUGAGCCUAGGUCGGAUUAGCUAGUUGGUGGGGUAAAGGCCUACCAAGGCGACGAUCCGUAACUGGUCUGAGAGGAUGAUCAGUCACACUGGAACUGAGACACGGUCCAGACUCCUACGGGAGGCAGCAGUGGGGAAUAUUGGACGAUGGGCGAAAGCCUGAUCCAGCCAUGCCGCGUGUGUGAAGAAGGGCUUCGGAUUGUAAAGCGCUUUAAGUUGGGAGGAAGGGCAGUAAGUUAAUACCUUGCUGUUUUGACGUUACCAACAGAAUAAGCACCGGCUAACUUCGU